UGUGUGUGUGUCAGUAUGGAUCAAUGUGUGUGUGUGUGUGUCAGUAUGGAUUAAUGUGUCAGUAUGGAUUAAUGUGUCAGUGUGUGUGUGUCAGUAUGGAUCAAUGUGUCAGUAUGGAUCAAUGUGUGUGUGUGUGUGUGUCAGUAUGGAUCAAUGUGUCAGUAUGGAUCAAUGUGUGUGUGUGUGUGUCGGUAUGGAUCAAUGUGUGUGUGUGUCAAUAUGGAUCAAUGUGUCAGUAUGGAUCAAUGUGUGUGUGUG